AUUUAUUAAAAUAUAUAUGUAGUUUUUAGAGUGUUAAUUCUAAAAGUUAGCUUUAUUAAUUUAUAAUAGAAUAAGUGUGCUGGUGUGGCUCAACGGUAGAGCAGCUGACUUGUAAUCAGCAGGUUGUAGGUUCGAUUCCUAUCACCAGCUCCAGUAAAGACUAUGUUUUUAGCAUAGUCUUUUUUUAUUGUUUAAUGUGUCUUUUAUUUUGUACUACAUAUUUUUAUUAGCCUAAUAUAAAUUAUUGGAACAAAAGAUGACACAGUUUAAAAUUAUUGUUUUAAACUGUGCCUGUGAGUUUUAAAUCAAUCUACCAUGAAUCACCAUUCUGGCAUCAUCAAAUUCAUAGGUACAUGUAGAAAGUGUAAUUAUUUUAUCAUUAAUAUCUACUUUAAUAGGAGAUUUAUACAAUGAUUUAGAAGUAAUAUCGUUUAUGUAAUUUUGAUAAUCAGAUUCACUGUUAAAAUUUGUUUUUAGAUAAUCAUAAUCAGACUCUACAAUAUAAGCAGAAAAAACAUCAUAUAAAAAUUCUUUUCCAUUUAAGUUUAUUUUUAUUUUAUUAUUUUGUCUAAAGAAAUCAGCAUCUUUAAACUUAUUUAGGUUGUUGAACAUAGUUUUAUUUUUCAUAUUAUGUCCAUAUAUUAUGACAUUUUUGUCAUCAAGAGAUUUAUUUCUAUAAUCCAUAAAUAGUGUACCUGAAAUAGAAUCUUUUUUAUAAAAAUCUUUGUCAAGAUAGUAAGAAUUAUCUUUAGAUUGUACAACUGGAUAGUUUAUAUUUGUAUUCUCAACAGAAAGCCAAAAUUUAAAAUCACUGUUAAUCUUUGAUAAGUCCUCUUUUUUAUAUUCUUUUUUUUGAAGUUCUGAGGAUGUUUUAGUAUCAUGAUUGUAUUUGCUAAGUUUUGAGUAUAUAUUAAAUCCACUGUAAAGUAUUACUAAUAUUAGUAUAAUGUUAAUUAUUAUUCUAUAUAACUUUUUCAAUAUAUCACCUCGAGUUAAAUGUAGUUUAUAUACCUAUAUUACACUAUUUUUGAAUAAAUUUAAAUUUUUAGUAUAAUAUUACUUUGACAUGUAAAAGAAUUUGUGUUAACAUAACUAAGUAAAAUAAAUAUUAAGUAAGCCAGAUAAUCGC
rnacentral:tRNA from 1 species